rnacentral:rRNA from 2 species
GGACGAACGCUGGCGGCGUGCCUAAUACAUGCAAGUCGAGCGAAUCUGAUGGGAGCUUGCUCCCUGAWGAUUAGCGGCGGACGGGUGAGUAACACGUGGGUAACCUGCCUGUAAGACUGGGAUAACUCCGGGAAACCGGGGCUAAUACCGGAUAACUUUUUUCUUCGCAUGAGGGAGAAUUGAAAGAUGGCYUCGGCUAUCACUUACAGAUGGACCCGCGGCGCAUUAGCUAGUUGGUGAGGUAACGGCUCACCAAGGCGACGAUGCGUAGCCGACUUGAGAGGGUGAUCGGCCACACUGGGACUGAGACACGGCCCAGACUCCUACGGGAGGCAGCAGUAGGGAAUCUUCCGCAAUGGACGAAAGUCUGACGGAGCAACGCCGCGUGAGUGAUGAAGGUUUUCGGAUCGUAAAACUCUGUUGUUAGGGAAGAACAAGUAUCGUUCGAAUAGGGCGGUACCUUGACGGUACCUAACCAGAAAGCCACGGCUAACUACGU